CUCUUAUCAAGAGUGGCGGAGGGACAGACCCUGUGAAGCCCGGCAACCUUCAAGUUUUUUCUUGAAAAGGUGCUAAUUUCUGCAGAUUAAUUUCUGGAAGAUAAGAG
rfam:Bacilli bacterium VT-13-104 contig002, whole genome shotgun sequence.